CUAAGAAUCUUCCGCAAUGGGGGAAACCCUGACGGAGCGACGCCGCGUGGACGAUGAAGGCCGCAAGGUUGUAAAGUCCUUUUGCAGGAGAAGAAUAAGCGUGGGAGUGGAAAGCCCGCGUGAUGACGUUAUCCUGCGAAUAAGCCCCGGCCAAUUACGUGCCAGCAGCCGCGGUAAUACGUAUGGGGCGAGCGUUGUUCGGAGUUAUUGGGCGUAAAGGGCGUGUAGGCGGCGCGCGGCGUCCGGUGUGAAAACGCAGGGCUCAACCCUGCGGUUGCGCUGGAAACGGGCGUGCUGGAGUCCCGGGGGGGAAGCUGGAAUUCCUGGUGUAGGAGUGAAAUCUGUAGAGAUCAGGAAGAACACCGGUGGCGAAGGCGAGCUUCUAUUCGAGGACUGACGCUGAGGCGCGAAAGCGUGGGGAGCAAACAGG
rnacentral:rRNA from 1 species